rnacentral:rRNA from 1 species
UGGGGAAUAUUGCACAAUGGGCGCAAGCCUGAUGCAGCGACGCCGCGUGGGGGAUGACGGCCUUCGGGUUGUAAACUCCUUUCGCUAGGGACGAAGCUUUUUGUGACGGUACCUAGAUAAGAAGCACCGGCUAACUACGUGCCAGCAGCCGCGGUAAUACGUAGGGUGCGAGCGUUGUCCGGAAUUACUGGGCGUAAAGGGCUCGUAGGUGGUUUGUCGCGUCGUCUGUGAAAUUCCGGGGCUUAACUCCGGGCGUGCAGGCGAUACGGGCAUAACUUGAGUACUGUAGGGGUAACUGGAAUUCCUGGUGUAGCGGUGAAAUGCGCAGAUAUCAGGAGGAACACCGAUGGCGAAGGCAGGUUACUGGGCAGUUACUGACGCAGAGGAGCGAAAGCAUGGGUAGCGAACAGG